GUGGCAGAACAAACACAUAGCAUCACCUUUCCCCACACUGGUCUUGUCUGACUGAUUUAGGAAGCUAUGUGUAAUCGGGCCUGGUUAGUCCUUGGAUGGGAAACCACCAGGGAUUACCAAGGAUUUUCCAUU
rnacentral:rRNA from 1 species